UAAAAAAAACAAUUGUAAAAGAAUGGCGCAAAAAGUGUGUAUGAUGAUUAUGAUGGCAUUGAUAAUGGUAGGAUGCCAUCUAAAAGCAUGCAAUGGAAUGGAGAACUUGUCGAAGGAAGACCAUCACUCACUGCCGAUGGAAAUAACUAUUCCGCAACGUCAAAUAGUUCCGGACCCAGUAUGUUUAUGGCACUGUCGCAUCAAAUGUGGCGAUGACUCAGAUUGUGUAAGAAAGUGUGUUAUAAAUUGUUGAUACCCAGUUCUGAAAGUGUAAUGUUCUAUCUCGAGAUUUACAUCUCUUAUGAAAUAAAAAUCAAACAUUAAUAAAAUAUAUUUAAUUAUUGA